rnacentral:rRNA from 1 species
GAUGAACGCUGGCGGCGUGCCUAAUACAUGCAAGUCGAGCGAACAGACGAGGAGCUUGCUCCUCUGACGUUAGCGGCGGACGGGUGAGUAACACGUGGAUAACCUACCUAUAAGACUGGGAUAACUUCGGGAAACCGGAGCUAAUACCGGAUAAUAUAUUGAACCACAUGGUUCAAUAGUGAAAGACGGUUUUGCUGUCACUUAUAGAUGGAUCCGCGUCGCAUUAGCUAGUUGGUAAGGUAACGGCUUACCAAGGCAACGAUGCGUAGCCGACCUGAGAGGGUGAUCGGCCACACUGGAACUGAGACACGGUCCAGACUCCUACGGGAGGCAGCAGUAGGGAAUCUUCCGCAAUGGGCGAAAGCCUGACGGAGCAACGCCGCGUGAGUGAUGAAGGUCUUCGGAUCGUAAAGCUCUGUUAUUAGGGAAGAACAAAUGUGUAAGUAACUAUGCACGUCUUGACGGUACCUAAUCAGAAAGCCACGGCUAACUACGUG